GUCUAUGGCCAUACCACCCUGAAAGUGCUUAAUCUUAUCUGAUCUUGGAAGCUAAGCUAGUGCUGGGCCUGAUUAGUACUUGGAUGGGAGACUGCCCAGGAAUACUAGGCGCUGUAGGCU
rnacentral:rRNA from 1 species